rnacentral:rRNA from 1 species
GACAGAGGAGCCAAGCGUUGUCCGGAUUGACUGGGCGUAAAGGGCAUGCAGGUGGUUGCGGGCGUCGGUGCUGACAAUUCGCCGCUUAACGGCGAGAGGCGUGCCGAUACGCCGCAACUUGAGGCCGUGAGAGGUCCGUGGAAUUGCCGGUGUAGUGGUGAAAUGCGUAGAGAUCGGCAGGAACACCCAUGCGAAAGCAGCGGACUGGUGCGGUUCUGACACUGAGGUGCGAAAGCGUGGGGAGCGAACUGG